CCAAGAAGGAAGUUAGUAUUUUCCAUGAUGUGCAGUUUUAAACAUGUGCAAUAGUGAAUCAGCAACAAUCUGCAUUCCUCCAUGGCCUUUGGUAGCUUCGUCGGUCAGACUGAGUAGAGAGAGAAGUAGAAUGAAGAACAGAAGCAAGAAUGAGAAAAACAAACGACACCCCUUCCGCCAUCUUUCAGUCUCCCUGUCUGAGCAAUGAUCAGUGAAGUUAAGAGUCGGAGUCAACAGGAACAAAACCGCAUCCCGAAUCUGUCUAUUCGGUGGUGGAGGACGUGUUGAAAAGAUGUCGCAUUUUUUUAAAAAUGACUCUUGUUUCAAGCUUUUCUGUCAUUGUCGUGCCACCUGAGGCCAUCGGGUUUAAUAAAAUUACAUAUGCUCCUG